UGGAGUAUGUUGCUCAAUUCGAUGCAACGCGAAGAACCUUAUCCUGGGCUUGACAUGUAGGAGCCUCUACCUGGAAACAGAAUAGAGUUGCCCUUCGGGGUGUAAGCCUACACAGGUGCUGCAUGGCUGUCGUCAGCUCGUGUCGCGAGAUGUCGGGUUAAGUCCCAUAACGAGCGAAACCCUUGUCGCUAGUUGCCAGCGGGUCAUGCCGGGGACUCUAGCGAGACUGCCGGUGUCAAACCGGAGGAAGCGGGGAUGACGUCAAGUCCCCAUGGCCUUUAUGCCCAGGGCUGCAAACGUACUACAAUGGUCGCUACAAACCGAAGCAAGACCGCGAGGUGGAGCAAAUCGGAGAAAAGCGGCCCCAGUUCAGAUUGGAGUCUGCAACUCGACUCCAUGAAGUUGGAAUCGCUAGUAAUCGCGGAUCAGCUAUGCCGCGGUGAAUGUGUUCCUGAGCCUU
rnacentral:rRNA from 1 species